UUUAACAAACCAUUGAAGAGCUUUACAAAAUCUAUUAUAACCUCUUUCUUCUCUACUCUCUACUUUGUCCUUCAACAAAACAAUGACUCUCUCUCUCUCUUUUCGUGUGUUAUCAAAUGAUCUUGUUCCUUGCGUCUUCGAGCUUCUUCAGAAUCUCCGCAGGUGUUCUAUCCAGCUCGUCUGCUAUUUUCCUCUGCAAGUCCAUUGGGAGUGUCGGGAACUGCUCACACAGAUCUCCAUCUAUCACGUCCUGUUACAAGAUGCAAAAAGUGUCAAAUUCAAAAUCAAGGGACUUCUUUUGAUUUGGAGGAAAAGCAAAUGGGUUUUGGUUUAUUACCUUGACCGGAAAAUAUGCAGAUCUGUAAGCCAUGUGGUCUCUCCCGCAGAGAGGAGGAUACUCCUGCCUCAUGUGCAUCUCCAGAUGAGAGAAGAAAUCCACAUCAUCACGGGAUGUGAAAGCAUGUAAUGCCCCUAUGCUACCCAUCACUGUUCCAUACAUUAUCGAUUCCGAUCCACCUGGGAUCAUCGAAGCUUUCUGCAAGCACGUCACAACGUCCCCAACAUGGAACUGUACUAUCUCAUCCACUUUGUUCGGUGCUCCAUUCAGCUUUCCUUGCUCCCACUUGAUCUUCC
rnacentral:sRNA from 1 species